rnacentral:rRNA from 1 species
CAUGCCGUAAACGAUGAAUGCUAGGUGUUGGAGGGUUUCCGCCCUUCAGUGCCGCAGCUAACGCAUUAAGCAUUCCGCCUGGGGAGUACGACCGCAAGGUUGAAACUCAAAGGAAUUGACGGGGGCCCGCACAAGCGGUGGAGCAUGUGGUUUAAUUCGAAGCAACGCGAAGAACCUUACCAGGUCUUGACAUCCUAUGCCAAUCUGAGAGAUCAGACGUUCCCUUCGGGGACAUAGUGACAGGUGG